GGGAGCUUGGCCGAGUGGUCUAUGGCGUCAGAUUUAGGUUCCUUGAAUCUCUGAUAUCUUCGGAUGCGCGAGUUCGAAUCUCGUGGCUCUCA